GACGAACGCUGGCGGCGUGCUUAACACAUGCAAGUCGAACGGAAAGGCCCCUUUGGGGUACUCGAGUGGCGAACGGGUGAGUAACACGUGAGUAACCUGCCCUUGACUUCGGGAUAACUUCAGGAAACUGGGGCUAAUACCGGAUAGGAAUCCUUGCUGCAUGGUGGGGGUUGGAAAGCUUCGGCGGUUUUGGAUGGACUCGCGGCUUAUCAGCUUGUUGGGGGGGUAGUGGCUUACCAAGGCUUUGACGGGUAGCCGGCCUGAGAGAGCGACCGGCCACAUUGGGACUGAGAUACGGCCCAGACUCCUACGGGAGGCAGCAGUGGGGAAUAUUGCACAAUGGGCGGAAGCCUGAUGCAGCAACGCCGCGUGCGGGAGGACGGCCUUCGGGUUGGAAACCGCUUUCAGCAGGGGCGAAGCUUGUGGUGACGGUACCUGCAGAAGAAGCACCGGCUAACUACGUG
rnacentral:rRNA from 1 species